AAUAAAAUGCCUGACAAAAAGGACUAUCUUGAUAGGAUAGAUAAUGUACUAUGUACUUUUAUUA
rnacentral:tRNA from 1 species